rnacentral:rRNA from 1 species
CCUACGGGUGACAGCAGUGAGGAAUAUUGGUCAAUGGACGAGAGUCUGAACCAGCCAAGUAGCGUGAAGGAUAACUGCCCUAUGGGUUGUAAACUUCUUUUAUAUGGGAAUAAAAUGUUCCACGUGUGGGAUUUUGUAUGUACCAUAUGAAUAAGGAUCGGCUAACUCCGUGCCAGCAGCCGCGGUAAUACGGAGGAUCCGAGCGUUAUCCGGAUUUAUUGGGUUUAAAGGGAGCGUAGGUGGAUUGUUAAGUCAGUUGUGAAAGUUUGCGGCUCAACCGUAAAAUUGCAGUUGAAACUGGCAGUCUUGAGUACAGUAGAGGUGGGCGGAAUUCGUGGUGUAGCGGUGAAAUGCUUAGAUAUCACGAAGAACUCCGAUUGCGAAGGCAGUUCACUGGACUGCAACUGACACUGAGGCUCGAAAGUGUGGGUAUCAAACAGGAUUAGAUACCCCUGUAGUC